CCUACGGGUGGCAGCAGUGGGGCAUAUUGCGCCAUGGGCGAAAUCCUGACGCAGCGACGCCGCGUGAGGGAUGAAGGUCUUCGGAUCGUAAACCUCUGUCAGCAGGGAAGCACGGUCACUGUGCUAAUCAUCAAUGAAUUGACUGUACCUUCACAGGAAGCACCGGCUAACUCCGUGCCCGCAGCCGCGGUAAUACGGAGGGUUCGAGCGUUACUCGUAAUUACGGGGCGUAAAGCGCGCGUAGGCGGUAUGUCAAGUCAAGGGUGAAAUCCCCGGGCUAAACGUGGGAACUGCCUUUGAAACGGGCAAACUGGAGUGUGUGAGGGGAUAGUGGAAUUCCAGGUGUAGGAGUGAAAUCCGGAGAUAUCUGGAGGAACAUCAGUGGCGAAGGCGACUAUCUGGCACAUAACUGACGCUGAGGAGCGAAAGCGUGGGUAGCAAACAGGAUUAGAUACCCCAGUAGUC
rnacentral:rRNA from 1 species